rnacentral:rRNA from 1 species
UGAACGCUAGCGGCAGGCUUAACACAUGCAAGUCGAGGGGCAGCGCGUUGUAGCAAUACAAUGGCGGCGACCGGCGGAAGGGUGCGUAACGCGUGAGCAACUUGCCCGUCACAGGGGGAUAACCGGUGGAAACGCCGACUAACACCCCGUAACACAUUUCGCUGCAUGGCGAGAUGUUGAAAACUCCGGUGGUGACGGAUAGGCUCGCGUGCCAUUAGCUAGUCGGCGGGGCAACGGCCCACCGAGGCGACGAUGGCUAGGGGUUCUGAGAGGAAGGCCCCCCACACUGGGACUGAGACACGGCCCAGACUCCUACGGGAGGCAGCAGUGAGGAAUAUUGGACAAUGGAGGCAACUCUGAUCCAGCCAUGCCGCGUGAAGGACUAAGGCCCUAUGGGCUGUAAACUUCUUUAGACGCAGAGCAAUAAGGGCCACGCGUGGUCCGAUGAGAGUAUGCGUAGAAUAAGCAUCGGCUAACUCCGUG